rnacentral:lncRNA from 1 species
GGUCUCCUCGCGAGGGCCUGGGCCGCUCUGGGCGCUCGGCCCGCGUGUCGGGGGCUCCCCGGGGCGCCCUGGGCUCCUGCUGCUGUUUCUUCCUGGCCGGCCUUGAGAAACCAUUUCCGCCGCUGACGUGCGUCUACGCCCAUCAUUUCAGCUGACACGUUGCUGUAACGUCUCCUCCGUUUCAUGCUCUUUCGAACCCUGUCAGCUGCGGGAAGGAACUUCUAAACUAAAAGCUGGCAAGACUCAGCAGAAAAAAAAUAUCGAAAGCUGCUUCUGCUGCCCCAGCUUCACUCAGGCCCUGGCUGCUCCUUCACUGGUCUACACUGCUGCCUCCUGGAACCACCCACUCUGCAACCAGGUCUGAUGCCCGGUGUGGACAUUCAGGGAUGAGGUCCCCUGGGGCUAAAUGAAUGAACAGAUUCUGAAAAGCAGAAGCUACGUCCGGGGGUCUCUGGGCCACAAAUCACUUUCUGACCUGCAGCCGUGAGGCGUGAGGCUCACUCGGAAGCUCCCGGAACCUGGAGACUGCCCUCACUCAACACUUGAACAAGCAAGGGGCCAGGUUCAAUGAAACACCUGCCCGCCCGGCACACCAGGCUCAAAAGCAAGCAAGCAAGCAAACAAACAAACAAAAUCAAAUCAGGCCUUCACAACUCCCCAAAUCAUGUGUGAGUUUCUACAGAGCAGAAGCCAAAAAUAUAUGUUAUCUAACUAGGUCCUAUUUACAUAUAUUUUUAUGGCUGCUCUAAAAAAUUAUCACAAACAUAGCGGCUUCACCCCGUUUCCCCUGUUGUGAUUAUUACACAUUGGAUGCCUGUAUCAAAAUAUCUCAUGGACCCCAUAAAUAGCAACACCCUGUAUGUACUCAUGACAAUUUUUUAAAAAAGAACACUUACACUUUCCAUUUCUGCAGGUUAGACGUCUGAAAUGGUCUCCCUGGGCUAACAUCAGGUCUUGGGAGGGCUGGUUCCUUCUAGAGGCUCCAGGGGAGAACCCCUCGGCCCUCAGUCCCAUCCUCCGUCUUCAGAGCCAGUGGUGUCUCGUCACUGAGACCUGCUCUGCCCUCCGCCUCUAUGUUGAAGGGCCCGAGAUUCUACUGGGUCCCCCCGGAUAAUCCAGGGUCACCCCUCCGUGUCAGGCGGCUGACUGGCAGCCUCAUGUGUCCACAGUUUCCGUGCACCGGGAGGUGGGCAUGUUUAGGGGCCCCCAUUCUGCCUCCCAUGAGUCUGCAGGGCCUGACUUUGUAAUUUGGGAUCAUUCUUAGGGUACCCAGAUACAACAAACAAAAACGCAGCAAACAAAAACACAGGGUGCCCAGCUCAACAGGAAGUUUGGAGAAGCAGUGACUGAUUUUUUAGUCUCCCGACCUGGGGUACAGCGAGAAGGAGGAGACGGAGGCAGACCGGCACGGGGUGGUCAGGGACAGCGGUGCUGACACACGGCUGCUCAAAGAUGACUUGGAACUCGAGGCCCAGCUCGUUAUUCUGGGGGUGACUGGCUCCCAGUGUCUGGACGGGUCUGAGCCCCACCACAGCUGGCCUGGACUGGACUGGAAACCGUGCCCAUUAACGACCCCUGGGCCACCCAGAGCCCCCAGCUCCGGAGACCCCGGGGUCUGGUUUGUGGCUGUUUGUCGCCCACGGGCCCCUCCACCAGCUCCUUUCGGUAAAGAGUAUGGCCUCCUAGAUACCGACCUCAUGCCAUACGGAUGCAGUCAGGCUCUGGCGGUCAGGAAGGUGGCUCCGGAGCUCGGCUCUGCACCGCAUCCUCUGCCCCCUGUUUCCCGAGAUUGCUCCUGGACACACCUUUCUCUCCCGCCCUGUGGGCCAUCGUGGCGCAGACCGUGGAGCAGGGGCAGCUCUUACCCCUGGGUCUGGCAUCAGGAGCGUGUCCCACCGGCUCUGUUGCCGCAGCCUCAAAGCCCCACGUGGGGCAGCAGCCGGAUCGGCACUGGGGGAGCCGGAAUCCAUCAACCUCGGCCUCAGAUCAGCAUCCGCCCAGCCCUCCUGCCCCACAUCCGAGCCAUUUCAAGGGCUGCAGGGACAUUGGGAUGAUGGGGAAGUGGGCCGAGGACAGCCCCAGGGAAGGCUUUGUCUGAACUCCUCAAAUCACCGGGCGCUGACAUUUGGGAUUUUUGCCUUCCUGGCGCACCCCCACCCCACAUGCACACUCACGUGCAUGGCGUCGGCAGGAUGUGGGUGCUGCAGAGGUGCCCCCACUUCUGUGUCUCCCACGCAGCCCCGGGAACCUGGGCCCCACAGGAGCCAGGAGCUGCAGCACAGGACCAAGAAGCUUGACCUUUUCUCCCCAACUGCUAAAUCGCCAGUCCUUUGGAGCAACAGUGUCCUCUACAUAAAGGAGCAGUUAGACUAAUUUAAAACAGUAUUGACCUUUCCUUCCUGCCCUUUUCAUUUUGACUAAAUUACAGGGUGCGGCUCUGCAAUUCGCCUUCCGGUCUGUGAGUGACUCCGAGUCAGCACCCACCUUGCCUUGCUGCUUAAUCAAGGAGAGUGCUGCUGCUGGUGAUGCAGGGCAGGGCACCAACGCCCUGGGGCGAUGCAGGGCAGGGCACCAUCCACCAACGCCCCGACCCAGCGUCUCUCGUGGGGUCAAGGUUACAAGGAAGGCGGGCCAGGGGCGAGGCCUGCCUCUGUCCACAGGCAGACACGGAUGCCGAGGCUGGAAGGACCUUCCUGGCCCUCUCCUAACGGAGGCCCCGAGAGGGGAGGAGGCUGCAGGGAUCAUCCAGCCCCUCAGGGCAGCACUCAGACCAGCCUCAGGGCCAUCAGCCAGGACGGCCGGUAUCCUUGACUCUUGCUUCAGGUCCCAACACUCUAUUUCAAGGGGAUGCUGGGCCCUCCCCAAUAACUCCCCACCGUGUCCCAGGAGAGCCUCCAGCUGGCCAAGAAGCCUCACCUGGCUCACAGCUUUGCUGCCCUUAAACUGAGGUCACAACAGGCCCUGGUGUCAGUGCAGCCUUGGCUCCCAAGGGUGACACAUCCGCGC